UUUUAAAUCUCUUUCAUUGAUACUUUUUAUCAAGUAGGAUCUAUUCUAUGACUGCUUUGGUCCACUUGCCAUCAGUUCUUCUUACUAUGUGACCAGCCCAUUUCCAUUCCAAUUCUUUUACUCUCUUGAUGAUAUCAUAUACUUUUAUUUGUUCUCUAAUCCAUAUAUGCACCCACAAUCA